GGGCCGAUAGCUCAGUCCGGCAGAGCAUCUGGCUUUUAACCAGAUGGCCGGGGGUUCAAAUCCCUCUCGGCCCG
rnacentral:tRNA from 1 species